AGGUGCUGCAUGGCUGUCGUCAGCUCGUGUCGUGAGAUGUUGGGUUAAGUCCCGCAACGAGCGCAACCCUUGUCCUUAGUUGCCAUCAUUAAGUUGGGCACUCUAGGGAGACUGCCGGUGUUAAACCGGAGGAAGGUGGGGAUGACGUCAAGUCCUCAUGGCCCUUAUGUCCAGGGCUACACACGUGCUACAAUGGCCGGUACAAAGGGCUGCGAUACCGCAAGGUGGAGCAAAUCCCAAAAAGCCGGUCUCAGUUCGGAUUGGAGUCUGCAACUCGACUCCAUGAAGUUGGAAUCGCUAGUAAUCGCGUAUCAGCAUGACGCGGUGAAUACGUUCCCGGGCCUUGUACACACCGCCCGUCACACCACGGGAGUCUGUUGUACCGGAAAGCGGUGGGCCAACCUUCGGGAGGCAGCCGUUUAUGGUAUGGCCGGUAACUGGGGUGAAGUCGUAACAAGGUA
rnacentral:rRNA from 1 species